rnacentral:rRNA from 1 species
UACGUAGGGGGCAAGCGUUGUCCGGAAUCAUUGGGCGUAAAGCGGGUGUAGGCGGCUCUAUAAGUCAGAAGUGAAAGCCCCGAGCUUAACUUGGGAAGUGCUUUUGAUACUGCAGAGCUUGAAUGUGGGAGAGGGUAGUGGAAUUCCAGGUGUAGUGGUGAAAUACGUAGAUAUCUGGAGGAACACCGGUGGCGAAGGCGGCUACCUGGCCCAACAUUGACGCUGAGACCCGAAAGCAUGGGGAUCAAACAGG